AUUGAACGCUGGCGGCAGGCUUAACACAUGCAAGUCGAACGAGUGGCGGACGGGUGAGUAAUGCUUGGGAAUCCAGCUUUUGGAGGGGGAUAACUACGGGAAACUGUAUCUAAUACCGCGUACCAUAGGAUGAGCCCAAGUGGGAUUAGGUAGUUGGUGAGGUAAAGGCUCACCAAGCCGACGAUAUCUAGCUGGUCUGAGAGGAUGACCAGCAACACUGGGACUGAGAGACGGCCCAGACUCCUCCGGGAGACAGCAGUGGGGAAUAUUGCGCAAUGGGGGCAGCCUGACGCAGCAAGGCCGCGUGAAGUAGGCAGGCCUUCGGGUUGUAAGGUUCUUUCGGUAGCGAGGCGUUAACUACAGAAGAAGCCCCGGCUAACUCCGUGCCAGCAGCCGCGGUAAUAC
rnacentral:rRNA from 1 species